AUUUUUGUGAAGUCUCAUGUGGGGAAGACCAUCAUGCUUGAGGCUGAACCUUCCGACACUAUAAAAAAUGCAAAGGCGAAGAUCCAGGAUAAGGAAGGACUUCUGCCUGAUCAGCAGAGUUGAUCAUUGCUGGUAAGCAGCUGGAAGAUGGCCGUACUUUGUCUGACUACAACAUUCAAAUGGAGUCCACCCUUCAUCUUGUGUUGAGAUUUCAUGGUGGUGCUAAAAAGAGGAGGAAGAGGUCUUACACCAUUCCCAAGAAGAAUAAUCAUAAGAUGAAGAAGGUUAAGUUGGCUGUGCUGAAAUGUUAUAUGGUGGAUGAAAAUGGCAGAAUCAGCCAACCUUGUCGAGAGUGUCAUUCUGAUGAGCGUGGUGCUGGAGUUUUCAUGACUAACACGGGCGUUACUGUGGCAAGUGUUGUCUGGCCUACUGCUUCCACAAGCCAGAAGACAAG
rnacentral:lncRNA from 1 species